rnacentral:lncRNA from 1 species
UCGAACAGGCGCAGCGAGCGGCGAUAGCGCGCGCACGAGGCGGCCAGCACGGCGCGGGCCCCGAGCGCGCGCAGCGCCCCCAGCACCCCGCAGCGGGUCAGGUGCGCGGCGCGCGCCACGUCGGCCUCGCGCAAGUAGCGCGCGUUGUUCAUGUGCAGCAGCAGGUCCAAGUCCGAGGGCAGCACGCGGCCCGCGUAGCGUUGCUCGGCCAGCAGGUCGCGGACGCGCGGCUGCAGCAGGCGCGCGCGCAGCACGGCGCACGGCACGCGCACCAAGUACCAACCGUCCAGCAGCGCGAAGUAGACGAGCGCCAGGACCAGCGGCGCCACGAGCAGCCCCAGCAUCGCGGCGGCAGGCGCGGGGUGCGGCGGAACCCGCGGCGCCGGUGCCGACCGGGGCGC